rnacentral:rRNA from 1 species
AACGUAGGAGACAAACGUUAUCCGGAGUUACUGGGCGUAAAGGGCGUGUAGGUGGUUUCGUAAGUCUGGCGUGAAAUUUCCCGGCUUAACCGGGAGUGGUCGUCGGAUACUGCGGGACUAGAGGACGGUAGAGGCGUGUGGAAUUCCAGGUGUAGCGGUGAAAUGCGUAGAUAUCUGGAGGAACACCGGUGGCGAAGGCGGCAUCCUGGACCGAUAUUGACGCUGAUGCGCGAAAGCCAGGGGAGCAAACGGG